UACGUAGGGGGCAAGCGUUGUCCGGAAUUAUUGGGCGUAAAGAGCGUGUAGGCGGCCAAGCAGGUCCGCUGUGAAAACUCGAGGCUCAACCUCGAGACGUCGGUGGAAACCGUUUGGCUAGAGUCCGGAAGAGGAGAGUGGAAUUCCCGGUGUAGCGGUGAAAUGCGCAGAUAUCGGGAAGAACACCCGUGGCGAAGGCGGCUCUCUGGGACGGUACUGACACUGAGACGCGAAAGCGUGGGGAGCGAACAGG
rnacentral:rRNA from 1 species